UACGAAGGGGGCUAGCGUUGCUCGGAAUUACUGGGCGUAAAGCGCACGUAGGCGGAUUGUUAAGUCGGGGGUGAAAUCCUGGAGCUCAACUCCAGAACUGCCUUCGAUACUGGCGAUCUCGAGUUCGGGAGAGGUGAGUGGAACUGCGAGUGUAGAGGUGAAAUUCGUAGAUAUUCGCAAGAACACCAGUGGCGAAGGCGGCUCACUGGCCUGUUCUUGACGCUGAGGCGCGAAAGCUAGGGGAGCAAACGGG
rnacentral:rRNA from 1 species